rnacentral:lncRNA from 1 species
AUGCUGGUGGUGGAGGUCGCAAAUGGCCGCUCGCUGGUGUGGGGAGCCGAGGCCGUGCAGGCGCUGCGGGAGCGUCUGGGAGUCGGAGGACGCUCGGUGGGCGCCCUGCCCCGCGGGCCCCGCCAGAACUCGCGCCUGGGCCUUCCGCUUCUGCUGCUGUCUGAAGAAGCCCGGCUCCUGGCCGAGAUAGGCGCGGUGACCCUAGUCAGCGCCCCUCGCCCGGACCCCCGCAACCAUGGCUUGGCCCUAGCAUCGUUCAAACGCCAGCAAGAGCAGAGUUUCCAGGAUCAGAACACUUUGGCAGCCGAGGCCCGGGAGACCCGGCGUCAGGAGCUUCUAGAGAAGAUCAUAGAGGGCCAGGCACCAAGAAGCAGAAGCUGGAACAGGAUUCAGGGGCAGAUGAAGAAGGCCAAGAAGCCGGUGGAAGUGAGGCUACCCAAGGGAGUGAGAACAGUGAUGAUGGCCAGCCUUCUGCGGAGCAGGAGGGAGCAGCCCCAUCCCUAGAUUCUUUAUCUCCACAACCAGGACCUUCAAAUGGGGUGACUCCCUUGCCCAGAUCAGCCCUGCUUAUCCAGCUGGCCACUGCCAGGCCUCGGCCUGUAAAAGCUAAGCCUCUGGACUGGCGUGUGCAGUCCAAAGACUGGCCCCAUGCUGGCCGUCCUGCCCACGAGCUGCGCUACAGCAUCUACCGAGACCUGUGGGAGAGAGGCUUCUUCCUCAGCGCAGCAGGGAAGUUUGGUGGUGACUUCCUGGUGUAUCCUGGUGAUCCACUGCGUUUCCAUGCUCACUACAUUGCUCAGUGCUGGUCUGCUGAGGACCCCAUCCCACUUCAGGACCUGCUCUCUGCAGGCCGCCUGGGAACCAGUGUCAGGAAGACCCUGCUGCUCUGCUCCCCUCAGCCUGAUGGGAAGGUGGUCUACACAUCCCUGCAGUGGGCCAGC